rnacentral:rRNA from 1 species
AACCUCUUUCAGUAGGGAAGAAGCGAGAGUGACGGUACCUGCAGAAGAAGCGCCGGCUAACUACGUGCCAGCAGCCGCGGUAAUACGUAGGGCGCAAGCGUUGUCCGGAAUUAUUGGGCGUAAAGAGCUUGUAGGUGGCUUGUCGCGUCUGCCGUGAAAACCCGAGGCUCAACCUCGGGCGUGCGGUGGGUACGGGCAGGCUAGAGUGUGGUAGGGGAGACUGGAACUCCUGGUGUAGCGGUGAAAUGCGCAGAUAUCAGGAAGAACACCGAUGGCGAAGGCAGGUCUCUGGGCCAUUACUGACACUGAGAAGCGAAAGCAUGGGUAGCGAACAGGAUUAGAUACCCUGGUAGUCCAUGCCGUAAACGUUGGGCACUAGGUGUGGGGGACAUUCCACGUUUUCCGCGCCGUAGCUAACGCAUUAAGUGCCCCGCCUGGGGAGUACGGCCGCAAGGCUAAAACUCAAAGGAAUUGACGGGGGCCCGCACAAGCGGCGGAGCAUGCUGAUUAAUUCGAUGCAACGCGAAGAACCUUACCAAGGCUUGACAUGGACCGGACGGCUGCAGAGAUGUGGCUUUCUUUGGACUGGUUCACAGGUGGUGCAUGGUUGUCGUCAGCUCGUGUCGUGAGAUGUUGGGUUAAGUCCCGCAACGAGCGCAACCCUCGUUCCAUGUUGCCAGCGCGUCGUGGCGGGGACUCAUGGGAGACUGCCGGGGUCAACUCGGAGGAAGGUGGGGACGACGUCAAAUCAUCAUGCCCCUUAUGUCUUGGGCUUCAAGCAUGCUACAAUGGUCGGUACAAUGGGUUGCGAAGCUGUGAGGUGGAGCGAAUCCCAAAAAGCCGGCCUCAGUUCGGAUUGGGGUCUGCAACUCGACCCCAUGAAGUCGGAGUCGCUAGUAAUCGCAGAUCAGCAACGCUGCGGUGAAUACGUUCCCGGGCCUUGUACACACCGCCCGUCAAGUCACGAAAGUCGGUAACACCCGAAGCCAGUGGCCCAUCCUCGUGAGGGAGCUGUCGA